CAUAACUGGACUUCCUCUGUGCCG
rnacentral:piRNA from 1 species